rnacentral:rRNA from 1 species
GACGAACGCUGGCGGCGUGCUUAACACAUGCAAGUCGAACGGAAAGGCCCUGCUUUUGUGGGGUGCUCGAGUGGCGAACGGGUGAGUAACACGUGAGUAACCUGUCCUUGACUUUGGGAUAACUUCAGGAAAAUGGGGAUCAUACCGGAUAGGAGCUCCUGCUGCAUGGUGGGGGUUGGAAAGUUUCGGCGGUUGGGGAUAGACUCGCGGCUUAUCAGCUUGUUGGUGGGGUAGUGGCUUACGAAGGCUUUGACGGGUAGCCGGCCUGCGAGGGUAGACAGCCACAAGAGUACUGAGGUACGGACCAGACGCGUACGGUAGGCAGCAGGGGAAAGUAUGGCACAAUGAGGGGGAGCGUGAUACGGCGGCGCCGCGGGCGUGAUGACGGCCUUCGAGGUAUGAACCGCUUUCGCCUGAGACAGAGCGUGCGUGACGGUAACGGAUAAAGAAGCACCGGCUAACUACGUG